rnacentral:rRNA from 1 species
UUUGAGAUGGGGAUAGCUGUUAGAAAUAGCAGGUAAUACCGAAUGUGUUUAUAUAGAUUAGGCUGUAUAAAGGAAGGAGCUAUAGCUCCGCUCAAAGACGGGCUUGCGUCCCAUUAGCUGGUUGGUGAGGUAAAGGCUUACCAAGGCGACGAUGGGUAUCCGGCCUGAGAGGGUGGACGGACACAUUGGGACUGAGAUACGGCCCAAACUCCUACGGGAGGCAGCAGCUAAGAAUCUUCCGCAAUGGGCGAAAGCCUGACGGAGCGACACCGUGUGAAUGAAGAAGGCUGAAAAGUUGUAAAAUUCUUUUGCAGAUGAAGAAUAAGGAUAAGAGGGAAUGCUUAUCUGAUG